AAUCUACUUUUUCUGAUACUAAUAUAAUCACAACAGUUUUUAUUUGGUGAAUUUUUGCAUGGUAAAUCUUUUCCCAUCCAUUUACUUGUAUAUUAGAGAGUUUAUUGUUGCCAUUGUUUCAGUAAAUGUCUAAGUUUAUGAGAUUCUUCCAAACUGGUUUUCAGAAUGGCUGUAACAUUUUGCAUUCUCUUGCCUUACAGUUUGCAUCAUUAUUUUAGUGAGAAGGAUUUGAAAUUAACUCGAUCUGUCUGUCAUAAACACGUGCAUUUUAAGUUACAGUGAAAGAUACUGACUUUGGAAAUGAGAGAGAUGAUACCUUCAUAGUAUCCAGUGUGGAGGGUCACAGGAUCAAGGCUUCUCAAGUUCGUGUCUGCUUAUGGAGAUGUAUUGCUUUACAGCUUCAGAAGUAGGAGUCAGAAGACCUGAGUUCUAGCCUCAAAACAGUCACAUUCACAUUCCAUGUCACUGAGCAAAGCGCUUCAGCUCUCAAAGAUCAGCUGGCAGAUUCCACCAAACAUUGACAUCCGUGACCCUGAUUCUUGCGGCUGAGUUCAAGUUUCCUCACUGUGCAAUGAAGUCCUUGAACCUCUUUCUAUUCAGGCUGCUCAUGAUGCUUUCAUGCCUGAUGCGUCCCCCACGAAUGAAGAGGGAAGCACAGAUCACGUGAUGGUCACAGAUCUUCACUCUUCCUCCUGAAGCUGCCU
rnacentral:lncRNA from 1 species